rnacentral:rRNA from 1 species
AAUCAACGCUGGCGGCGUGCCUAACACAUGCAAGUCGAACGAGAAAGUGGAGCAAUCCAUGAGUACAGUGGCGACCGGGUGAGUAACACGUGAUCAACCUACCCUCGAGUGGGGAAUAACUCCGGGAAACCGGAGCUAAUACCGCAUAACAUCUUCGGUCCACAUGAACUGAUGAUCAAAGGAGCAAUUCGCUUGAGGAGGGGGUCGCGGCUGAUUAGCUAGUUGGUAGGGUAAUGGCCUACCAAGGCUUAGAUCGGUAUCCGGCCUGAGAGGGCGCACGGACACACUGGAACUGAAACACGGUCCAGACUCCUACGGGAGGCAGCAGUGGGGAAUUUUGCGCAAUGGGGGAAACCCUGACGCAGCAACGCCGCGUGGAGGAUGAAGUCCCUUGGGACGUAAACUCCUUUCGACCGGGAAGAUAC